CGGGACGGGUGAGUAAUGUCUGGGAAACUGCCUGAUGGAGGGGGGUAACUACUGGAAACGGUAGCUAAUACCGCAUAACGUCGCAAGACCAAAGAGGGGGACCUUCGGGCCUCUUGCCAUCGGAUGUGCCCAGAUGGGAUUAGCUAGUAGGUGGGGUAACGGCUCACCUAGGCGACGAUCCUAGCUGGUCUGAGAGGAUGACCAGCCACACUGGAACUGAGACACGGUCCAG
rnacentral:rRNA from 1 species